rnacentral:lncRNA from 1 species
AUGCCGGCGACCCGCACUUCGCGCUGCACCUUCGAUCCGCGCCACCCCGGCCGGAUCUGGACGGCUGGCGUCUGGCGGCGCUGGCUAGCGACGGUGGCGGCUGACGGGGUGUCCGUGGCGGUGGCGGUGGCGAUGGUGGCUGACGGUGGCGGCUGGCGACGGUGGUGGCUGUGGCAGUGGCGGUGGCAGCUGUCGACAAUGGUACCUAUAGCGGCGAUGGUUGAAGGCUAUCAUCCGGCUGACGGUGCGUCGGCGGCGACGGCGAUAUGUGGAGGUGGGGAAGGGGUCUGGCGGCGGGGAAGGAGGAGUCCGGGUGCGGGCGCGCCGUCGAUGGCGGGAACAACUGUGGGCGGUGGCCUUGGCCGAAUCGCUGAAAGGACAAUGUUGUUGACCGACGACGAUCCUUCUUGUGUGGAUUGGUGGUGUGGGUUUGGACAGGGAAUCGCGGGCGAAAGCCUUGCCGAGCCAUUUGGCUGGCUGACAAUGGCGACGCCGUUUGGCGUCGUUCCCCUUCUUGAAGGCGUUGUUUUAGCAUACCCUUUUCCUUUCCCUACCAUAUUCUCCGGGUGAAAACCUUGCU